GCAGGUCAGGGGUCUGAGCAUGGCUUAGCUGGGCCAGGGUCUCCCACAAGUCUGCAAUCAAGGUGCCAGUGGGUGCUGAGAUCUCAUCUGGAGGCUCAACUGGGGAAAGAUCUUCCAAGCUCACAUGGUUGUUGGCAGGAUCCGAUUCCUCGUGGGCUGUUGGACUAAGGUUCCUCAGGGGUGCUGCCCUCUGUUCCUUGCCAUGUGGGCCUCUCCAUAGGACAUCAUACAUCAUCAAAGCCCAUGAGAGAGACACUCAGCUAGGAGGACAGAAGUUACAAUCAUGGAAAUGAUAUCCCAUCACUUUUGUUGUAUUCUAUUGGUUUGAAUCUUUCUAGCAAUGUGGCCAGACUUCUUACAAAACAGCUCCAAGAGGGAACAUUGCAAAUGGCAAAGAAGGAAGCUGGAGAUCUCUGAAGGCCAACCUUGGAAGUCACACAGCAUCACUUCUAGCACAUUUUGUUGGUUAAAAUGUGAAUAUAAAACCUCCAUGAGUCCUAGCAAGUCACUGAAUGUGUGGAUGAUCUCAGAGACCCUUGAAACAGUGACCAUCUCUCAGAAACAAGCUACCACAAAUGGGUGCUCCUAAGGCCCAUAAUGGGAAUCAGGAUUCCCUUUGGAGGCCAGAUGC